UGCACAGACAAUCCACAGUCCUACAGGGGAGAACAACCAACACCUGAGAGUUUUCCCCAGCACCAGGCAAGAUGGGACUUGGGCUCCAUCUCUUUAUCCUGGCACUUGCUCUGAAAGAUGCCUGGUGUGAGAUCCAGCUGGUGGAGUCUGGAGGGGAUGUGAGGAAACCUGGCGCAUCUCUGCACCUCUCCUGCAAGGGUUCUGGGUACACCUUCAGUAGCCACCAAAUGGUCUGGGUCCGACAGGCCCCUGGAAAAGGGUUGGAGUGGAUUGCCUUUAUUGAUGUCACCACCAUAUAUUAUGCUGACUCCGUGAAAGGGCGAUUCACCAUCUCCAGGGACAAUCCCAGCAGCCUGCUGCACCUGCAGAUGAACAGCCUGAAGCCUGAGGAUACAGCCCUGUACUACUGUGCAAGAACACACAAUGAGACAAAGCCUGUUACUACCAAUACACAAACCCCAGGAUUGCAUCUCUAG